rnacentral:ncRNA from 1 species
UUAGAAACGUUGAAGAGAAGAGUAAGAUUUAGUUAAGACUUAAGAGACCCCUAGCUUGGUGUGAACGGGGAGCUUAACUGGUUUGAAAGUAGUCUCCGAGAAUUGAAUACGAACCGAGUGUUCAAUGGGUGCACCCAUUAUAGUGCCAGGGUAUCGUCAGCAAUGGCCGUACUUGGUAAGGUAUGUUUUGUGAGAGACAUACAAAAUGAGGUGGUAACACGUGAAAACGUCCUUAUU